UCCAAUGUUAUCAUAAAAUAUAAAGAGUGCUGAAAUGUAAAAGUCAUGCGUAAUAUGCAAUAAUCCCAUAUUCAUUUUCAUUAAGCCACUGUUUGUUUUUUCCCCAGCACAUGUAACUCUCAGAAUUGUUGCUAGUUUAAUGUGGAAACAUUUAAAAAAUACCGUUACUGAUUUCUGUGUGUUGACAGCAGCAUGAAUAUGAUCACGAUUUGUUUCCUUACAGGUGUGCCAUGAGGAAUUACAAAAGUAAUUUUCCAUUCUUCGUUUGCGUAAACGCGAACCUGGCAACUAAAGAGCUGAUAAUUAACACGCGGCUACUCCGUUAUUAGACUAGAAAGCGUCAGGGCAGCGAAGGAUCGCUUGGACGAGACGAUGAAGGCUCCUAAUUUCGUGCGGACAGAGCAAAGGAUCCUAAGGUUAAAAAUGACCUUUUCAGUUUCUUUUGUUGUGAGUUCAUCCAAUGAAAUGAUCGGUUUGUCUGUUUGCAGCGCACAUUUGUUUUAAUAUGCCUAUUUUCGACGGAGGCUCCAUUUCUUUCCCAAAGAGCUGAUUGUGUAGAUGCGGUCAGUGAAUGGAAUCAGGCUGUAAAUCUGACUGACACAUAGACUCAUACAUAUCCUGUAAUUAUCAGCCUUCCGUCAUAAAUGAUUCCGCCAGAAAAUGAUGCGCGUUUUGUUUGAUCUGCAUCACGUCCUCUGCAGUUUCAACAAAUUAAAUAUCCUGUUUUUGUUUUGCAUUUUUAUGAAACAUAAAAGCACACGUGGUUUAAAAUAACGCCUAACUUCAAAAAAAUCUUUUCAUUUGUUAUUUUUUAAUUUGCCUAUUAAUCCUAAACAGGUUGCUUUGAAAUACGUGCGUUUCACCUAAUUGUUACAUAACACGCAGAGUAUUUAGAAAUAAUUUGAAUAUUUUUGAAUUGUUCUAUAAACGAACUCUACGUAUUUUUCUUAUAAAUACGAAGCUGUUUUUUUAUUUUAUCAAUAGGUGAUGCUAAUUGUCAGUGAAAUAAAUAGAUAGAUGUUUUACACAGUUUAUAUUAAUCUGUUGUUCCGUUUCAGUUGUAAUAUGAAUAUCAGUUUUCAUGUAACUGUUGAGACUGAACAUGUAGUAAAACUCAACUCAAUGAAUUGAGACGUUUUAUAAAUAUGUCUGAGUUGCCUAUGUGUACUGUUAAUUAUUGCGUCACUGCAGUCAGCAACAGUUGUGUGUUUCUAGUAGGAAAUAAAUGUCAGUCGUGUAAAUAACUAAUUUACAAGGCGCAUUUUUCCUCUGUCACCAGCAGAAUUAGUUUCUGUCAAAACGCUUCCAAACUGCGUCCACCCUUCUCACGCAGAUGAAACUCGCCCCUCGCCCUCCCCCUUUUCUAACUAAGGCAGGCCGGAGAGCCGCACAAACUUUGUCUGCAGCUCCACAGACACACGGAGCGUCUCUGCGUGCUGCGCUCUGGGUUCCUCCGCAGCCCCGCACGCGCCCGCGCACCUAUGCAGCCUCGGAGUAAAACCUGCCAGCCCCUCAAUCUGAUUCACUUCCUGUAGUCAGACGCCUUCCACAAAGUGGAGAGAGGGGGAAGCGAGGGAAGGAAGAGCCCGUUCUUUUCCAAAUAGGACUCUCCACGGAGCACAAAGCGACUCCUCGCCUGCGCGUAGCUUCACGUCGUUUGUAGUUGGAGUCAGACUUUAGGUCGUCGCGCGCAACAGCGUCUUAACGAGAGAAAACAUCCUGCGUUAAGCUCCAAACUGUGCGCCAGUUACACCCAAACCCAUGUGCGGCACGGAUGGUACAGACUUUGACGCACGUCGCCGAUUCCACCCUUGACUCCUGGCACUGAGUUUGAAGACACUUCGCUGCGAGGCUCCGGGGGGUUCAUGUACUGGAAAAAUGAAGUUUUGUCCCCUCUUUCAGAGGGAAAUAAGAUUCUGUCCGAAGGAAUUCCCACGAAACAGGUGAUCUCCGCGGAGCAUCAGAGUACGCAGGGAGCGUUGCGCUGCGGUGCGGACUCGAAACACACGCCAAUGUCUCACUCGGACGGAGAGUCCCAGCGGUCCAACAUGGAGCGGGAGGACACGCGCUCGGCGCCGAGCACGCCCUCCACGCCCUCGGUGUGCUCGCCGACCUCCACCGCCAGCUCGGUGCCGUCCACCGGGAAGAACGUGUGCGCCAGCUGCGGCUUGGAGAUCCUGGACCGAUACUUACUGAAGGUGAACAACCUCAUCUGGCACGUGCGCUGUCUGGAGUGCUCCGUGUGCAGGACGUCGCUGCGUCAGCACAGCAGCUGCUACAUCAAAAACAAGGAGAUCUUCUGUAAAAUGGAUUAUUUCAGUAGGUUUGGUACUAAGUGCGCCCGCUGUGGGCGUCAGAUCUACGCCAGCGACUGGGUGCGACGCGCCAGGGGCAACGCGUACCACCUGGCGUGCUUCGCGUGCUACUCGUGCAAGCGGCAGCUCUCCACGGGGGAGGAGUUCGGCCUGGUGGAGGAGAAGGUCCUGUGCAGGAUCCACUACGACACCAUGGUGGAGAACCUCAAGCGAGCGGCUGAGAGCGGCAACGGCAUCACAUUAGAAGGCGCGGUUCCAACAGAGCAGGACAGUCAGCCCAAGCCGGCGAAACGGGCGCGAACCUCCUUCACUGCAGAGCAGCUACAGAUCAUGCAGGCGCAGUUUGCCCAGGACAACAACCCAGACGCCCAGACGCUACAGAAGCUCGCCGACAUGACGGGCCUCAGCCGGAGAGUAAUACAGAGCAAGACACAAGAAGCACACGCCCCAUAGCGGGGCUCCCCAGGGCCACCCCCAGUCCCGGAUGCCCUCGUCCAUGCCCGACGAGCUGCAUUACUCCCCGUUUGGCAGUCCCGAGCGGGCGCGCAUGGUGUCCCUCCACGGGUACAUCGACAGUCACCCCUUCUCUGUGCUGACCUCCCAGAGUCUCCCUCACCAGACCAUGGCGCUGCCUCAGCUCCCUCUCAGCCGCUAGCGCUGCACUUUGACCCCCGUGACCCCACCCUGUGGAACCCCAACCCUCUGCUCUCACACCGGUCACGUGUGCUGGCCUGACCCGGUUUGCCCAGGACGGGCAGGCGGGAGUCAGCGUGGAGAAAACUCAGCCCCUUGGAAUCAGAAAAUGAGCUGGAAGACAGACAAAAAUAACUGAGAUACACCCGUCAUUGUGUUUCUUUUUUUUCCUUGAGGACAGGAUUAUACCACCUGCGGCCAUUCACUCAACAUACGCCUGAAGCAUUUACCAUUAGCAGGAACUGACCACCGAAAGGACCCAUUUUGCUUCGCGUGUCCAGCGCCCUCGGCUUUACUUCUCCCCCAUCGGAUGUGAUGGGGGAGAAAGGUUUAAAGGGAUGGAACUGAUAAAGGAAGCAGGACUGAAGCCUCUUGAGUGCUGUCAGAAUGCUGAGGAGAAACAAAGAUGGGGAGAUUUAAGGGGGAGCUGUCACUGCGGCCCAAGUGGGCCCACUCAGUAGGGCGAGCGCAUUAGAGGUAAGCUUCCACCCUCUUCUCUCUCUAAGCAGCCAUGAAGGAAAACUAAAUUGUUCAUUUUGAAAUAUUUAAGAUAAUGUUUUAUGUAAGAGCAAACCCUUCCCAGUCAUGUUUUUGAUCAGCUCUCCACAGAAAUUAGUUCGAUUUGAUUCAAUAUUUGUUGAAGACUAAAUAUACUGGGUGCCUUAUCUUGUCCAUCAUUAAAAUAAUGAGUACAGCAGCUAUUUAACUAAUUAAAAUUCCAGCUUGUAAUUUAUCAAUAAACAAACAUUUGGGUGUUUUUUAUUUGACUGUGUAAAAUAUUUUUGACAGAUUUUUCAUCCGAAUCUUCCUUUGGUAGAAAAUCACUAAUCGAUUGUAGCACAUUGACUGGUUUUUAUGAAGGAAACUACAAAAUACAGCGUCUGGGCUUGUGUUUUAUUAAAUUAUGGAUGUGAGCAGAAGCUCACAGGUUUCAAUCUCCUACAGUUCUGUUACUAAUAUUUAAAUAGUAUUCUGAAAUGACCAUACGAAUUGAUGCCACAUUUCUCCAGCAACCGAGGUGUUAUAUCAUAUUCAUAUUCACAAACAGCUGAAUUCUCACUAUUUAUGAUUUUGUUCCUCUGUGUGUGUGUCUUUCACAAAAGGCAGCAGAUGGAGUAUUGGUACAAUAUAAACAAUAUGAAACAGUAUGAUUUGUACCUAGUAGAGAGAGAGAGAGAGAGUGAGAGAGAGAGAGAGUGUGUGUGUGUGUGUGUGUGUGUGUGUGUGUGUGUGUGUGUGUGUGUGUGUGUGUGUGUGUGUGUGUGUGUGUGUGUGUGUGUGUGUGCGUGUUAUGGGUGGGGUAGAAAGUGAGAGAUUGUGUAUCUGUAUUUUGGUGCCAUGACCAUUGUGUGAAGAACAGGAUCCAACAAGACCUCAAUGUCCUUGUAUUUAUUGAGAUGGUAAAUCCCUGUAAAGCACUUUUCCCUCUGAAAUUGUUUUGUUUUGUUAAAAAAAGAAAUGAAACAAAAAAGUUUAUUUGAUAGAUGCAUCAAAAUGUUUUGUGUACUACAGUAAGAUGCAAUAAAAUAGAAUGUGAUAUUGUU